rnacentral:rRNA from 1 species
AUGUGGAUAAUAUGGUCGAGUAGGAACAAGUAUACCCACGAGGAGGUCAAAUACCAGCCCGGUAGGUCAAUGGUUCUAGUGAAAGAGCUCAUUCAGGCUCUGUACAUUCCUUCCGAAGCUGUCGACAUGAAAGAUCUUGAGAGGGUGAGAUGGAAACUGCCGGAAGAGGGAUGGCGGAAAAUCAAUACUGAUGCUGCUGUUGAUGUAAAUGGGGGAUCAUCAGCCAUUGGGCUAGUGGCACGAGACCAUGACGGGGGACUUUUGCUAGCCAGUGGCCACAAGCUGGUGGGGGUGACCGACCCAUACUGUGCUGAAUUGCUAGGGGUCAGGGAAGCUGUGCUUCUGGCUAUGGAGAAGGGCUGGACGCGGGUUACCAUCGAAUCGGACUGCAGAACUGUCAUAGAGGAGUAUGUGGCGACGGAGUGCAGGUCGACAGGGAGCCCAAUCAUCAGCGACAUCAAAUCCUAUCUCCAGAACUUUCAGGGUUUAUGCGUCAACUACGUUAGAAGAGAGGCCAAUGAGGCUGCUCACUCGUGUGCCAGAGAGAGCCUUGCGAGUGUUUCGAAUGUAAUUUCUUUUGAUGUUUUCCCUGCUUCGUUGAUUGCCAUAGUGCAAUCGGAUGUAAACCGUCUAAGUAAUGAAUAA